CAUUGAUAGAAUCAAAUGUUCAUACUGGUUUCCCAAAAUGAACCGAUUUGUUAAGAAAUAUAUCGGUGCUUAUCUACACUGUCUCUAUUAUAAGGAACAUAGCGGUAAACGACCAGGUUAUCUUCAUUCCAUACCCAAGUAUCCUAGGCCACACCACACUCUUCACAGAGACCACUUAGGUCCGUUUAUAGAAAUAGAAAUUGGCAAUAAAUACCUUCUGGUGAUUGUGGACGGAUUCUCCAAGUUCACCUACAUAUAUCCACUUCCAAAUACCUCUUCAAAGGAAGUAAUAGAAAAGUUGCAAAGACUUUUCUCAAUCUUGGGUAACCCUAGACGCAUAAUCACUGAUGCUGGAUCUGCAUUCACAUCUAGUGAAUUUAAAACAUACAUAGACAGAAAAGGAAUUCGAUAGUUCACAACAGCUGUGGGUACACCAAGAGGGAAUGGACAGGUUGAACGGGCCAACAAAGUAAUCUUAGAUGCUCUUGCUGCUACAGGUGCAGAUAUUAACAAGAAUCAAUGGGAUUUAAAAAUCGAACAAGUUCAACAUGGACUAAGCAGUACAAAACACCGAAUUACUCAAUACACGCCCUCAGAACUUCUUGUUUGGGUUUAAUCUUAAAACUGACUGUGAUCUACAUGCCAUAUCUGACGAAGAACCUUUAGAUGUCACUAAAAGUCGAAAAAUAGCCGCCAAAAAUCUGGAUGAAAAUCGAAUGAAACAAAAUCUAACAUUCAACAAGAAAAGAUCUCCACCUCAGUUCUUCUCAGUUGGGAACUUAGUGAUGACAAAAGUUAUUAGUUUUCCGGCCAAUAACGAAAGUAAAAAGUUACUUCUAAAAUUUAGAGGACCCUUUCGAAUUAUCGAGGUAUUGCCGAAUGAUAGGUAUCGUGUCAAAGAGGACAUUCACACAGAAAGAUCACAAAGACCUUACGAGGGAACAGUUUGCUUGGAAAACAUCAAGCCGUUUGAAAUUCAAAAAAGUUAAGAAUCCUUACGAGGACGUAACGGCUGCAGGAUGGCCGUGGGGUCAUAUCACCCAAGAACUAUUAUCAAUAGAUCAAUCUUUCCGACUCCGACGAUUAAGAGACCGCCACAGUAAUUUUUUUCUUUAUCCCAAUGCCGAUAAUGUAAACACUCUCGGCUGAGGGUCCAGCGUAUUUAAUAUUCAGCACUUCUUUUAUUUUUGUAUAAUACAGUGAUUUCUUGGUUCUAUAGUUUUUGUAAAAUGAUCUUUAAAAAAGUAUAAUGGCAGUUCCCUUCUAAUCUUUGUUAGAAACAGUCGUUUUAAAAAUAUAAUUCGUGUUUUAUUGAAA